rnacentral:misc_RNA from 1 species
AACGCACGAGACCUGCGGACCUGCGGAGGGAUCAUUACUGAGUGAGGGCCCUCUGGGUCCAACCUCCCACCCGUGUCUCUUGUACCAUGUUGCUUCGGCGAGCCCGCCUCACGGCCGCCGGGGGGCAUCUGCCCCCGGGCCCGCGCCCGCCGAAGCCCCCUCUGAACGCUGUCUGAAGAUUGCAGUCUGAGCGAUAAGCAAAAAUUAUUUAAAACUUUCAGCAAUGGAUCUCUAGAUCGG